rnacentral:tRNA from 1 species
GCUACGAUAGUUUACUCUAAAACACUAGCCUGUGACGCUAGAAACGGAACCACCCUCCCCGCAGCU